GAGGUAUGAGGAAGACAUCUGAACAGUCUGAUUAUCACUGAAGACUGUAAGAUCCAACUCUGACCUCAAAAAAGCC